CAGGUUUCUUAGCCACAGGACUUUCAACUCUUAUCUCUUUCAAACAUGACAAUUUAUGCUGAUUGCAACAGGAGCUUGUUUCAGGUGGCUGCUUUAACUACAAGAGGAAGGUCUCUGCAGGAAAGAGAGAAGCUGUUGUCUGAGGGCCACUGGAGCUUUUGCAGAGCCUUCCUGAACUUCACUGUAUUUGCUAGAAGGACACAGGGAAUGCAGAGGGAUCCAGAUGCUGUUUUCUCUGGUGUGCAUGAAUGAGUCAUGGUGAUAGAAGAGCUCAAGGUCACUGCUGUGUAAGAUACUUGCACUUGAUAUGAAUGCUGCAUGCAGAUGUUUCUUGUCACUGUGAGCAAGACUCAACCCCCCUUGCAGAUGGUCCAAAAAAAAAAAAAAAAUAAAUUGAUCAUAUGUAUUCA
rnacentral:lncRNA from 1 species